AUUCGUCAAAUUCCGCACUGCCAUAUAUUUCGGGUGAACAUUUUUGUACGAAAAAAAAAAUAGGGAGGCAGAGAUUCGGAUGUCGUUUGUUUGCCCGACGGCCAGCUGAGCUGGCUCUUGUGUUUUGUUCAACAACUUUUCGAGAGAAGUGGCCUCUCGAUGGCCAUCCGUCCAGAUUGAUGCGUCUUUCAUAGCUGCAAUGAAUGGCAGUGGCUGCGAUUGACAAUUUAUUUGGAAUAUUAAUUUUUGCCCAUGCAAAGUUCGCUCUUCCGAUGGAUUGCAAUGAGAUUCGAUCAGUGAGUGGCAUCAAUUAAAAUAAAACACAUUUGCCACUGGGUUCUGCUACUGCCGUGCAGUCGGUGUCAUUAAUAUUCCGCACUCACGCUUUGCCGCAUAAUUUAAUGCCAAUGUGAUUUUUAUAUUUUCAAUUAAUUUCGAACAAUAAAUUGCGGUAAGCGGGAAGCAUGCGGGCAUACCUAUGAAAGUUCA